UCUGUCUACAUAGUUGGUAUGGGUUGAGGUCCAGAACCAGAAAGGAGCAGUCACUUUGUUCGGGGUUUUUCACAGACCCCCUAUAGAUGCAGAGAAGUGGAGGAGGGAAUUGGGAGACAGAUACCAGAAAGGUGCAGAGUCACAAGGUUGUAGUCAUGGGUGACUUCAACUUUCCAAAUAUUGAUUGGAAACUUUUUAGUUGUAGUAGUUUAGAUGGAGCAGAUUUUGUCCGGUGUGUUCAGGAAGGAUUCCUGACACAGUACGUAGAUAGACCAACAUGAAGAGAGGCCACUUUGGAUUUGGCACUUAGCAAUGAACUGGGUCAAGUAUUAGACCUGUUGGUAGGACAGCAUUUUGGCGUAGCCAUCAUAACUCUGUUACUUUUACAAUAGUCAUGGAAAAGGAUAGGUACAUACAGCAGGGUAAGGUCUAUAAUUGGGGGAAGGCCGAUUACAAUUCUGUUAGGCAAGCACUGGGUAACAUUAAAUGGGAACUGAUGCUGUCAGGGAAGAGCACUAUUGAAAUGUGGAGAUUAUUUAAGGAAUGCAUACUGCGUGUGCUCGGUAUGUUUGUCUCCGGCAGGCAGGGAAGAUGCAGUCGAGUGAGGGAUCCUUGGUUCUCAAGAAAGGUCGAACGACUAGUUAAGAGGAAGAAGGAUGCUUACAUAAAGCUUAGGAAACAAGGAGUGGAAAAUCCUCUAGAAGGACACAGGUUAGCCAGGAAGGUGUUGAAGAACGGGCUUAGAAGAGCUAUAAGGGGGCAUGAGGAAACCUUGGCAGGAUCAUAGGAUCAAGGAAAACUCCAAGGCUUUUUACACAUAUGUGAGGAAUAACAGAAUGACCAGAGAAAGGGUAGGGUUGAUCAAGGAUUGCAAAGGAAAUUUGUGCACGGAGCCUAUAGAGAUAAGAGAGGUCCUUUAUGAAUAUUUUUCUACGGUAUUUACAACUGAGAGACACCUAGUUGUAGAGGAGGACAGUGUGAAACAGGCUAUUAGACUAGAGGAGGUGGAUGUUAGUAAGAAAGAUGUACUAGGAAUUUUGAGGAACUUGAAGACAGAUCAGUCCCCUGGGCCUGUUGGGAAGCGAAGGAAGAGAUCGCAGGGCCUUUGGCAUUGAUCUUUUUGUCAUCACUGUCCAUGGGCAUUGUGCCGGAAGAUCAGAGAGAGGUAAAUGUCAUUCCCUUGUUCAAAAAAGGGAAUAGAAUUAACCCUGGAAAUUACAGGCCAGUUAGUCUUACGUCAGUGGUGGGCAAGUUAUUGGAAAGGGCUCUGAGAGAUACAAUUUGUGAUCACUUAGAAAAGCACAGUUUGAUUCAUGACAGUCAGUAUGGAUUUUGUGAGGGGUAGAUCAUGCCUCACAAACCUUAUUGAAUUCUUUGAAGAGGUGACCAAACACGUCAAUGAAGAUGGAGCAGUGGAUGCGGCAUACAUGGAUUUAAACAAGGCAUUCGAUAAGGUUCCCCAUGGCUCAUGCAGAAGAUGAGGAGGAAUGUGCUGGACACCCUCCUAGGAAUGGGAUACGAUGCUCAACUCAUCGAUCACCAGUUCUGACUGCCACAGCAAAAUAACCACAAUGACCUCCUCAGAAGACAGACACGGAAUAUGUCCGAUGGGGAAACCCCCCAUCGUCCAGUACUUUCAGGGAGCAGGGGAACUACACCAUAUUCUUCGCAGCCUUCAACAUAUCAUUGAUGACGAUGAGCACCUCACCAAGAUCUUCCCAAUGCCUUCACUUAUCACUUUUAAACAACUGCCAAACCUUGGACAGAACAUUGCUCAUAGCAAACUACCCAGCCUUCACGACUACAUGAACCACAACACUACCCAACCCUGUCAUGGUAAGAUCUGAAAGUCAUGUCAGAUCUUUGACAUGGACGUUGCCAUCAUGCAUGGGGACAUCAUGCAUGUUCACAGCAGAUACUCAUGUGACACAGACAAUGUUGCCUACCUGUAAUCAAGGGUGCCCUAAGGCAUGGUUUAUUGUUAAAGCCAUGCAGACACUAUAACAAUAGAUGAAUGGACACCGUGCAACAAUCACCGGACAAGGAUGUUCCCUCCCAGUGGGGCAACGCUCCAGCAGUGGACAGUCAGCCUCCAACUUUCUGAGAAACAUCCUCCAAGGUGGAUGUUGGGAUACACCACAACACAGAGUCGCCAAACAGAGGCUGAUAUUCAAGUUCAGUACCCAAUAAAACUGCCUCAACUGGGAUCUUGGGUCUUGGGUUCAUGUCACUCAACACCCUCUUACACACGCAUACGCACACGCACGUAGUCUCCCUCUCUCCCUCACACACGCACCCAUGCACUGUCUCUCCAUCACACUUGCAUGCACAUAUACAUAUACACACACUCUCUCUUUCCCAAAUCUACAGGGUGAAUUUGUACUUACAGAUACAUUCUAUUUUGGUCAAAAAAUACUGCACAAUUUUGGGACAGUCAGUCAAUGUGGCAUUUUACAAAUUCGUACUUUAGAAAUAAAACCAGUCUGACUCCAAAUCAAAACACAAACAGAUUCUAAACGAGGCCUCACACCUAACAUGCAUUAUCUGACCUAAAAUAUCACCUCUUCUUCAGUCAGAUGAAACCUUCAGUUCUCUCAGGACAGUGACUUGAAAGGAAUUCAAGUAAUUACAUAUAUGUAUUAAUCGAUUAAAACCUGCUAACUCAUUGAAUAUUUAACAACAUUUUUGGGUUGUUCAGUUCAUCCUCAUCAAUGGUGUGACUCUUUGAUCUUUUAAUUAUAAAUUCUGUGUCUUGAUACCACCUCAUUAACACCUGAAGAAGGACUGAAAUCCAAAUGCUUAUGUUUUCAAAUAAACCUGUUGGACUAUAA